UAUUACAGAAGCAGCUACCCUGGCAAAAGGUUCAUCACAUUGUCCAUGAAGCAAUGAAAAUUGAAACCCAGUUCGUUUGUGAAGCCCUACCUUGUGCAUUGAUUGGCAUGAACGCAACACUCAUGAGCCAGUACAUAAAAUUUGUCGCUAACCGCCUUUUGGUUGCCCUUGGGUAUGAGAGGAAAUACAACGUGGAAAAUCCAUUUGAUUGGAUGGAGUUUAUUUCUUUGCAAUGAGUAUUAAUGAGUGCAUGUCUUGGAUUUUGAUUUUA